UACGAAGGGUGCUAGCGUUGUUCGGAAUCACUGGGCGUAAAGCGCACGUAGGCGGCUUUGUAAGUUAGGGGUGAAAGCCCGGAGCUCAACUCCGGAAUUGCCUUUAAGACUGCAUCGCUUGAAUCCGGGAGAGGUGAGUGGAAUUCCGAGUGUAGAGGUGAAAUUCGUAGAUAUUCGGAAGAACACCAGUGGCGAAGGCGGCUCACUGGACCGGUAUUGACGCUGAGGUGCGAAAGCGUGGGGAGG
rnacentral:rRNA from 1 species